UUGACUGCUAAUCUUAGAGUUCCUUUGCUCCUGUAUGCUGCACUAAGUAGAUCAUGAGCAGCUUGGGAAAAACAUAGCUGAAUUUCUUCUUCAGCUUUUCAUUUCUGUGGAAGAUGGAAAAUAUAUCUCUUAGAGGGGAGCAGUCCUGUUCUUCCUAUGUGUGCUUAUGACUAUUUAGCACGUUUAUUAGUGUGAUUUAUGUGUGUAUAAUGUAAGAGGAAAAGACUGUCUACAGUACUACAUUAGAUCAAGGGCCUGUUUUGCCCAGUAUCUUGUCUGUGCCUGAGGAAGACCAGAAGGAAAAAUCAAGCAUGCAGUGAUACUUCCCAGAAUUUCUUGAAGAAUUCCCUGAGCUAUAGCUUGACAUCUUCCAUGAGCGUAACAUUCUUUCUGAAUGCAUGCAAACAUUCUGCAACCAUGACAUAACCAGGAAUAAUUGCAUGUAAAAUACCAACAUAUUGGUUUUACUAAGAAAUGACUUAGCUACUGCAGAAGGUUUGGGCUUUCAAAACAAUAAUACAGUUCUGAAUUUUGACCCCAUUUAGAAAGUUCUGAUGUGUCUUCUUGAAGACUAUGAACUGAAGGUUCAAAGACCCUCUGGAAGCUGGAAUUGAUCCUGUAUCCACAGAGACUCAGGCUUCCUGUUUGCUUUUCAACUUGACAAGUCACUUCAAUGACUUUCAGCAAGAGAGUGGUAGAAAAUCUUGCACUUCUAAAUGGAAGAGAAUCCAAGAGCAAGAAACACUUUAGGAAAAAGGAAAGUAGUAGCUUCCUGGAGGGAAGAGGAGUAGCAAAUGUGAGAGGAACCAUUCAGUCAGAGCUCGUGACAAACGGCAGUCCUAGGCCAGUUCCCACAGGAAGAGAAAGAAAAGUACUGUGAUCUUCCUACAUUAAGGAGCAGGAAAGAAGGCAACAGAUGAUGUGUAUGCAUCAAGGGUGAGAGGGCAAAGGGAAGCGAGAAUGAGACUGGAAUUGUUUGUGAACACCUCUGAUAUUCUAAUGCUGUUUAGCCCCAUACCAUCUCCAGAGAGCCCUGGAUACGUCUGUAGUAGGUGAAGUCAUUUUUGUAAUAAAGUUGGCUGUGGCUCUAGGUCA
rnacentral:lncRNA from 1 species